rnacentral:rRNA from 1 species
AGAGUUUGAUUAUGGCUCAGAACGAACGCUGGCGGCAGGCCUAACACAUGCAAGUCGAGCGCGUAGCAAUACGAGCGGCGCACGGGAUAGUAACGCGUGGGAACCUACCUUUCGGUUCGGAAUAACAUCGGGAAACUGGUGCUAAUACCGGAUACGCCCUUCGGGGGAAAGAUUUAUUGCCGAUAGAUGGGCCCGCGUUGGAUUAGCUAGUUGGUGAGGUAACGGCUCACCAAGGCAACGAUCCAUAGCUGGUCUGAGAGGAUGAUCAGCAUCACUGGGACUGAGACACGGCCCAGACUCCUACGGGAGGCAGCAGUGGGGAAUAUUGGACAAUGGGGGCAACCCUGAUCCAGCCAUGCCGCGUGAAUGAUGAAGGCCUUCGGGUUGUAAAGUUCUUUUGGUGGGGACGAUGAUGACGGUACCCACAGAAUAAGCUCCGGCUAACUUCGUGCCAGCAGCCGCGGUAAUACGAAGGGAGCUAGCGUUGUUCGGAUUUACUGGGCGUAAAGGGCGCGUAGGCGGUUUGGCAAGUUGGAUGUGAAAGCCCUGGGCUCAACCCGGGAAUUGCAUUCAAAACUGCCUUACUUGAAUUCGGUAGAGGUUGGUAGAAUUCCCAGUGUAGAGGUGAAAUUCGUAGAGAUUGGGAAGAAUACCCGUGGCGAAGGCGGCCAACUGGACCGACAUUGACGCUGAGGCGCGAAAGCGUGGGUAGCAAACAGGAUUAGAUACCCUGGUAGUCCACGCCGUAACCCGAUGCAUGCUAGACGUUAAAGCCGUCAGGUUUUAGUGUCGCAGCUACGCACUAAGCAUGCCGCCUGGGGAGUACGGCCGCAAGGUUGAAACUCAAUGAUGACGGGG